UAUCUCUGUAGAGUCUGCAUAUCAAUAAGCGGAGGAAAAGAAACUAACUAGGAUUCCCUCAGUAACGGCGAGUGAAGCGGGAAGAGCUCAAAUUUGAAAUCUUCAAGGUUCUACCUUGACGAAUUGUAGUUUAAAGAAGAGUUUUCUGUUGGAGUUUUGGUAAAAGUUCUUUGGAAUAGGACAUCAUAGAGGGUGAGAAUCCCGUAUUUGACCAUUAUUUCCAGCUUUGUGAUACACUUUCAAAGGGUCGGAUUGUUUGGGAAUGCAGUCCAAAAUGGGUGGUAAAUUUCAUCUAAAGCUAAAUACUGGCGAGAGACCGAUAGCGAACAAGUACCGUGAGGGAAAGAUGAAAAGAACUUUGAAAAGAGAGUUAAACAGUACGUGAAAUUGUCAAAAGGGAAGCGUUUGACACCAGUGUUGUUUUCUCGAAAAUCAAUUAAAAAAGGCAGGAUUUUGUGUUGUAUUGACUUUAUCAGCUUUCUGCACUCUUUUCUUGUCUUUUUUUAAUGCACUUUUCGUUUAACAAGUCAACAUCAAUUUCUUUUGUUGUAAAAGGGUCAUUGGAAGGUGGCUUUCUUUUCGGAGAAAGUGUUUAUAGUCCUUUGGCCUCUGCAAUCGGAGAGAUUGAGGUCUGCAGCGUAGAUCCUUCGGGGUUAGAUACAUUUGUGCUAAGUUAUAGCCUUUCAUAGACAACUUGUUGACUAUGAUCAGUCAUGUAGCUUACUCGCUUAUGCUAUUUUACCUACGCUUAGGAUGUUGAAGAUGUAGCACAUCAU
rnacentral:rRNA from 1 species